rnacentral:lncRNA from 1 species
CGCACUAUACUGUACCUGCAAGCCUGGGGGUAAAGGGAGAGGGGUGAGCUAAAAGCCCAGUGAGCUGAACUAUAAAACAUAUUAACACUAUGCUUUAAUGAAAUGCAUCAUAACACAGACAAUUCACAUAAGGGUUGGGUGAACUUGUCACCAAUUAGUCCAAGCUAACAUGGUGCCAGGCCGUAGCAUGGGGUCCUGGUCUUCCUGUCAUACAUACAUUACUUACCAUUAUUCCAGGACCUCCUCUGGGCUCCUGGUCUUCGAGUCCACAAUCGUGCCAGGCCGUAGAAUGGGGUCCUGGUCUUUCAUUUCCGUGCCAGGCUGUAGAAUGGGGUCCUGGUCUUCCUGUCAUGGACUAAUUGGGUCAUCCAACAUUCACCCACAUCAACAACAAUCGAUGCAAUGCGGCAUAUUCGUGAAUACUAAUGCAAUCAUCCUAUUGCAUAAUCAUGAUGCAUGAAACAUGAUAAAACAUUUAAUUUAAAAGAUUGAGUUUAGUUCCACUCACCUCUGGCUGACUCUGACAACACCGAAGCAGCUGACCUCACUGCUGAGGUCCUCGGUU